rnacentral:tRNA from 1 species
GGCGCCAUCGUCUAUCGGUUAGGACUCAAGAUUUUCAAUCUUGCAAGGAGGGUUCGACUCCCUCUGGCGCUGCCA